GGUUCCCUCCGAAGUUUCCCUCAGGAUAGCUGGAGCCCAUUACGAGUUCUAUCAGGUAAAGCCAAUGAUUAGAGGCAUUGGGGACGCAACGUCCUCGACCUAUUCUCAAACUUUAAAUAGGGCGGAGGGCUCGGCUGCUUCGGUGAGCCGUGCCACGGAAUCGGGUGCUCCAAGUGGGCCAUUUUUGGUAAGCAGAACUGGCGAUGCGGGAUGAACCGGAAGCCGGGUUACGGUGCCCAACUGCGCGCU
rnacentral:ncRNA from 1 species